UCAUUCUCAAUUCUCUCAUAAACCACAUUGAGAACUGAUAGAUAUGGAUAUGGCUUUUACACACGUUUGUGUAUGCACGCUACUCGCCUUCGUGCUAACUUGGACGCUGUUCUACGACACAAACAGGGGGAAGAAGGCAACGAAGUCGGCGGAUGCGGUGGUGGAAGAGCGAAAAGAUGGUGCUGCUGCUGACGUUAUCAUCGUUGGGGCUGGAGUUGGCGGCUCGGCUCUCGCAUAUGCUCUUGCUAAGGACGGGCGUCGAGUGCAUAUAAUAGAGAGGGACAUGAGAGAACCAGAGAGAAUGAUGGGUGAGUUUAUGCAACCAGGAGGACGAUUCAUGCUCUCUAAGCUUGACCUUCAAGAUUUUUUGGAAGGAAUAGAUGCCCAAAAAGCCACGGGCAUGGCAGUUUAUAAGGACGGAAAAGAAGCAGUCGCAUCUUUUCCGGUGGACAACAACAAAUUUCCUUAUGAUCCUUCUGCUCGAUCUUUUCACAAUGGUCGAUUCGUCCAACGUCUGCGCCAAAAAGCUUCUUCUCUUCCCAAUGUUCGGCUCGAAGAAGGAACGGUGAGGUCUUUGAUCGAAGAAAAAGGAGUGAUCAAAGGAGUGACAUACAAAAAUAGCGCAGGCGAAGAAACAACAGCCUUUGCACCUCUCACUGUGGUAUGCGACGGUUGCUACUCAAACCUUCGUCGGUCGCUUAACGACAACAAUGCGGAGGUUCUGUCAUACCAAGUUGGUUACAUCUCAAGAAACUGUCAGCUUGAAGAACCGGAGAAGUUAAAAUUGAUAAUGUCUAAACCCUCCUUCACCAUGUUGUAUCAAAUCGGCAGCACCGACGUUCGUUGUGUUUUUGAGCUUUUCCCCAACAACGUUCCUUCUAUUUCAAAUGGUGAAAUGGUUAAUUUCGUGAAGAACACUAUUGCUCCUCAGGUACCUUCAAAACUCCGUGAAAUAUUUUUGAAAGGGAUCGAUGAAGGAGCACAUAUAAAAGUCAUGCCAACAAAGAAAAUGUCAGCUACGUUGAGCGAUAAGAAAGGAGUGAUUGUAUUGGGAGAUGCAUUCAACAUGCGUCAUCCAGCAAUCGCAUCUGGAAUGAUGGUUUUAUUAUCUGACAUUCUCAUUCUACGCCGCCUUCUCCAGCCAUUAAGCAACCUUGGUGAUGCGCAAAAAAUCUCAGAAGUUAUCAAGUCCUUUUAUGAUAUACGCAAGGAAAUGCAUUUUCUCAAGUGCUAAUUGCAUCAACGGACAAAGCAAAAGAAGCAAUGAGACAGGGUUGCUAUGAUUACCUCUGUAGUGGUGGAUUUCGCACGUCAGGGAUGAUGGCUCUGCUCGGCGGCAUGAACCCUCGCCCGAUCUCUCUCAUCUAUCAUCUAUGUGCUAUCACUCUAUCCUCCAUUGGCCACCUACUCUCUCCAUGUCCCUCUCCCCUUGACAUCUGGCAUAGCCUCCGACUUUUUGGUUUAGCUACAAAAAUGUUGGUUCCCCAUCUAAAGGCCGAAGGAGUUAGCCAAAUGUUGUUUCCAGUCAACGCAGCCGCGUAUCGCAAAAGCUAUAUGGCCGCAACGGCUCUCUAAGUAUUGAUGCUUUAAACUGCAAAAUAUAUCACACAUAAAGAAAUCACGAAUCUUUGUGAUUCUGCAUCUAUUAUGUUCUACAAUUGUUAGCAUAUAAAUGAGAAUUAUUCUAUGUAAAAGAAAAAACAAGGAAUUGUAAUCAUAUAUAUGAAAGUUGAUCAAUUUUUUCAAUC